rnacentral:lncRNA from 1 species
AGGUUAGGAAUUGUGUGCUUUUUAUCUUUUGAUUUUCUCUGUCCUACAAAGCUUUCCACAAGAAAAAUAUUCUUGAAAAAAGUUUUUGUGCCUACUUUGGAAGAUAAGCAUGAUGGGAUAAGAAGAAUAGGAAGAAAAAAGCAACAAGUGGUGGGGUAGAAGAACCUAUACCUUAAGAGAAAUCAUUGUUCUAUUUCUCAAUCUCCUUAUAGUUGUGUGGCAAUUAUUAUUGCAACCUCUCAUUCCAUUUUCUCUACUUGUUUUUCUUCUUCUAGCCCAUUGUUGUUUUUUC